UACGUAGGUGGCAAGCGUUGUCCGGAAUUACUGGGCGUAAAGAAUGCGUAGGCGGUCUUUUAAGUGGGAUGUGAAAUCCCUGGGCUCAACCCAGGAACUGCAUUCCAAACUGGAAGACUAGAGUGCGGGAGAGGAAAUUGGUAUUCCCAGUGUAGCGGUGAAAUGCGUAGAGAUUGGGAGGAACACCAGUAGCGAAGGCGAAUUUCUGGAACGUAACUGACGCUGAGGCAUGAAAGCGUGGGGAGCAAAC
rnacentral:rRNA from 1 species